UGAGGUGCUUGCACCUUAUCUUAGCGGCGGACGGGUGAGUAAUGCUUAGGAAUCUGCCUAUUAGUGGGGGACAACAUUCCGAAAGGAAUGCUAAUACCGCAUACGUCCUACGGGAGAAAGCAGGGGAUCUUCGGACCUUGCGCUAAUAGAUGAGCCUAAGUCGGAUUAGCUAGUUGGUGGGGUAAAGGCCUACCAAGGCGACGAUCUGUAGCGGGUCUGAGAGGAUGAUCCGCCACACUGGGACUGAGACACGGCCCAGACUCCUACGGGAGGCAGCAGUGGGGAAUAUUGGACAAUGGGGGGAACCCUGAUCCAGCCAUGCCGCGUGUGUGAAGAAGGCCUUAUGGUUGUAAAGCACUUUAAGCGAGGAGGAGGCUACUGAGACUAAUACUCUUGGAUAGUGGACGUUACUCGCAGAAUAAGCACCGGCUAACUCUGUGCCAGCAGCCGCGGUAAUACAGAGGGUGCGAGCGUUAAUCGGAUUUACUGGGCGUAAAGCGUGCGUAGGCGGCUUUUUAAGUCGGAUGUGAAAUCCCCGAGCUUAACUUGGGAAUUGCAUUCGAUACUGGGAAGCUAGAGUAUGGGAGAGGAUGGUAGAAUUCCAGGUGUAGCGGUGAAAUGCGUAGAGAUCUGGAGGAAUACCGAUGGCGAAGGCAGCCAUCUGGCCUAAUACUGACGCUGAGGUACGAAAGCAUGGGGAGCAAACAGGAUUAGAUACCCUGGUAGUCCAUGCCG
rnacentral:rRNA from 1 species